rnacentral:rRNA from 1 species
UACGUAGGGUGCAAGCGUUAAUCGGAAUUACUGGGCGUAAAGCGUGCGCAGGCGGUGAUGUAAGACAGAUGUGAAAUCCCCGGGCUCAACCUGGGAACUGCAUUUGGGACUGCAAGGCUCGAGUGCGGCAGAGGAGACUGGAAGUUCCUGGUGUAGCAGUGAAAUGCGUAGAGUAUCGGGAGGAACACCGAUGGCGAAGGCAGGUCUCUGGGCUGACACUGACGCCUCAUGCACGAAAGCGUGGG